UACGGCUAUAUAACGUCGAAACACCGGUUCUCGUCCAAUCAUAGAAGUUAAGCAACGUUGAACCUGGUCAGUACCUAGAUGAGUGACCGCUAGGCAAUACCAGGUGUUGUAAG